AGAGUUUGAUCCUGGCUCAGAAUCAACGCUGGCGGCGUGCCUAACACAUGCAAGUCGAGCGAGAAAGGGUAGCAAUAUCCGAGUACAGCGGCGCACGGGUGAGUAACACGUGGGUAAUCUGCCUCGAAGUGGGGAAUAACACCGGGAAACCGGUGCUAAUACCGCAUAAUCUGGCGAAGUCUGCGGAUUUUGUCAGCAAAGGAGCAAUUCGCUUUGAGAGGAGCCCGCGGCUGAUUAGCUAGUUGGUGAGGUAAUGGCUCACCAAGGCUACGAUCAGUAGCCGGUCUGAGAGGACGGUCGGCCACACUGGAACUGAGACACGGUCCAGACUCCUACGGGAGGCAGCAGUGGGGAAUUUUUGGCAAUGGGGGCAACCCUGACCAAGCAACGCCGCGUGGGUGAUGAAGUCUCUUGGGACGUAAAACCCUUUCGACAGGGACGAAAGCCGCAAGGUUUGACGGUACCUGUAGAAGAAGCCCCGGCUAACUCCGUGCCAGCAGCCGCGGUAAUACGGGGGGGGCAAGCGUUGUUCGGAAUUACUGGGCGUAAAGGGCGCGUAGGCGGCUCACUAAGUCGGAUGUGAAAACUCUGGGCUCAACCCAGAGCCUGCAUCCGAAACUGGUGGGCUAGGGUACUGGAGGGGAAAGCGGAAUUCCUGGUGUAGCGGUGAAAUGCGUAGAUAUCAGGAGGAACACCGGUGGCGAAGGCGGCUUUCUGGACAGUAACCGAGCUGAGGCGCGAAAGCUAGGGGAGCAAACAGGAUUAGAUACCCUAGUAGUCC
rnacentral:rRNA from 1 species